GGUACGUAUUGCACACUAGGGAGGUUGUAAUGUCACAUUUAAUUUUGAAGCUAACAACCAUAUGCAAAAUGCUAUUUGUAAGAGGAAGGGGAAGCCUAGCUAGUGCAAUAUUCAAAUCCAAGAUCUGCCAAGUUCCACAAUGGGACAUAGAGGGAGCACCCUGGCUUGGAAUUUGAAUCCAAUGUUUUAAUAUUAGUAACUUUGUUACUUGUGUUGUUAGCCAACAAAGAUGGACUAGCCAAUGCCAACUUCAAAAUCCAUUGGGGUCAUGUGUCAAUGUCAACCCUUACCCAAAGGCUUUGGCUUCCUGCGCCCCAUGUAUUACUACAUGAACCUGCUUUUCUUUAACUCUUUCUUAUAAGUUCCUCUUACCCUUGCUGGAGCUUCUUCACCCAGCUUCAGUAGCUUCCACAAUGUACCACAAUUGCUUCAUUUUCCUCCGUCACACUUACUUCGUCUUCCCUAAGGCAUGGGUCACCCUUCGUUUAUCUACGUCAAAGAAAUUGUUUGAGGUGAAAUGUCUUUUUCAGGGUAAUCAAAAGGCAUGAUGCAUAAAAAUCCCUUCCAGAGGAUCAGCCAGGUGAACUGUAAAUUUAGAAUGGGCUUUACAUGCCUCAGAAACCAUUGCCAAAUUCUUGCAGGUACCAGUGCAGAGAAGGAUAAUGGCCAAUAAAAUGUAGUUGUAAAGGAAUAGUUUGCGUGGAAGAGAGAAGAGACCAGCGUGAAUCAAUUGCGUGAUUUAGCCUUAGAAAGGAGGGGAAAAGGCCAGUUCUUGACUUCUUGUUCCCAUUAUUCUCAUCAAUCUCUGUCUUUUUUUAUUUAUUUAUAAGUUUUCUAUGUUUUUUUCUCUCUA